GGUAGAGUCGAUAAAAAAUACCGGAGGAAGGUUUAUGCAAAGGCAACUUUUGAGGCACAGGCAGAUGGAGUAGGCAAAAGGUGAAGUUUAUACAUUCUUUCCAAUUGGCUUGGCUGUGAUAAAGCCAGCAAACGGCUAGUUUUUAUUCAGCAAUCAUUCUAAUCUAAAAUUCUUUGUGUGCCAGCUAUGUAGCUGAAAUUUCUGGUUAUUAUAAGUACGAGGGUGAAUUCUGCCCUCUGAUGUAUGCACAAGUUCCGUUUUCCUUUAGGAUCAUUGGGUUAAUGUACAUCUAUGUCAGGACAGAGCGUGAUAUUAUUCCUGAGGAACAGCGAGCAACGUCAGGUCAAACACGCCGGUUUCAUUUAAUACUAAGCAUGUUUAAGAAGAAAUGUCAGAGUUCAGUUCCGCUGGCUCGUGAUGUAAGUCAGGAAUUACUGAAGCCAGACACCUACCCUGCUCUUACACCAGUUUUGCACUAGGAUUACUUCGCUGAAAUAAAUCAACUCUUUAACAGGAAUCCACCGUACUGAUAUAUGAGCAGUUCAUAAACUUUAUGCAAACAAGGAAACAUGUUACACAGGGACAUGAGUGGGGAAAGAUGUGCACUGCCAGGGCCCAGCAUAAUUCCUUCUCACACACCUGAAUGGAGCAGAGGAAUUGUAUGCCAUGAGUGCCUGUUUCCAUCAAUAAAGUACUCAGACUAAAUGCAAGGAGCAGAACAUUCUUGCUGCAAUGCUGCCUCCAAGUCACCCCAACACAUGCCAAGCAAUUAUCACAUCCCAUUUCUGGAGGUUCCAGAGGCUUUCAGAAUUAUCCAGGUGUGCAAUCAGCUUGUGUAUAAGGAUGUAAAUUCCAGAUAAUGCUCACCACUUCAAUUACUACUUUUCUUGACUUUCUUUUCACUCAGGAAGGUCAUGUGCUACAAAAGAUGUAGUCUACAGGCAUACAAUAACUGUUUUAAUGCAUUUGCCAUUGAAGCAAAAUUGAAAAGGAUAAAAUUUUUGA